CGGGUAAUUGAGUAGUGGAGGUAGAGCACUGAAUGGGCUAGGGGCUGACAACAGUUACUGAACCCUAUCAAACUCCGAAUGCCAUAUACUUGUACCCCGGCAGUCAGACUACGAAUGAUAAGAUCCGUGGUCAAAAGGGAAACAGCCCAGACCAUCAGCUAAGGUCCCAAAGGGUAAGUUAAGUGGGAAAGGAUGUGGGAUUUCUAAGACAACUAGGAUGUUGGCUUAGAAGCAGCCACUCAUUUAAAGAGUGCGUAAUAGCUCACUAGUCGAGAGAUCCUGCGCCGAAGAUGUAACGGGGCUCAAACUUACCACCGAAGCUAUGGAUGUGUACUUUGUACACGUGGUAGAGGAGCUUUCUGUACAGGUUGAAGUCAUACCGUAAGGAGUGGUGGACAGUACAGAAGUGAGAAUGCUGGCAUAAGUAGCGAAAAACAAGUGAGAAUCUUGUUGACCGAAUAUCUAAGGUUUCCUGGGGAAGGCUCGUCCUCCCAGGGUUAGUCGGGACCUAAGCCGAGGCCGAAAGGCGUAGGUGAUGGACAACUGGUUGAUAUUCCAGUACCACCAUAAUGCGUUUGACAAAUGGGAUGACGCAGGAGGAUAGGAUGUGCGCACUAUUGGAUGUGCGUCUAAGCACUUAGGGUGUUAAGUAGGCAAAUCCGCUUAACAUUAAGCCUGAGGUGUGAUGGGGAGCCUAUUUUGGCGAAGUAUCUGAUUCCACGCUGCCAAGAAAAGUCUCUAUGGAGCAAA
rnacentral:rRNA from 1 species